ACCGCGUCAGGGAGGAGCCGAUUCUGUCCUACAAGGGCGCCAGGACCCAAACGACGACGGCUGUCCCCAAAGAACCCCUGCGACUGGGAAUUGAAGUGCAAGAGAGUCCGGAUUUCCUGUGUGUGGUCGAGGAGACGGAUAAACUUCUUGUCCUCAGGAGAGGGAGCGUUUCGUAGGCUCCCCAGGGGUUGAGGUGCUUCCAGCUUCUGCCAAGAUGCCCCAGAAACAGCCUCGUAGGCAGAGCAUCAGUGUGGGCAGAGGCGCCAGGAAGCGGGAUGAAGAUUCAGGGACCGAAGUAGGAGAAGGGCAAGAUGAAUGGAACCAGUCCAAGGCCACAGUCAGACCCCCUGACCAGCUGGAGUUGACGGACGCGGAGUUAAAGGAGGAGUUCACCCGGAUCUUGACAGCCAACAACCCACAUGCACCCCAGAACAUUGUGAGGUACAGUUUCAAAGAAGGCACAUAUAAGCUUAUUGGCUUUGUGAAUCAACUGGCAGUUCACUUCAGCCAGGUUGGGAACCUGAUCCCCAAAGACUCGGAUGAAGGGCGACGGCAGCGCUACCGUGCUGAGCGGGUGGCAGGUUCUCUGGAGUCUGCCAAGGUGACGCUAUCAGAAACGGAAAACCUUGAAGAAGAAGAAGAGCCCAAAGAGGCUGAGGUUGAAGCUGGAAGCCAAACAGAUGUGCCUGCAGCUGAGGCAGUUGAAAAAGUGACUGAAGAACUGAUGACUACUAAGCAACCCAAGGAGCGAAAACUCACUAACCAGUUCAACUUCAGUGAGAGAGCCUCGCAGACCUUCAACAACCCUCUCCGGAAUCGUGAAUGCCAGAUGGAGCCUCCUCCUAGGACAAAUUUUUCAGCUACAGCCAAUCAGUGGGAGAUCUACGAUGCCUACAUGGAAGAGCUUGAGAAGCAGGAAAAGACCAAAGAGAAAGAGAAGACAAAGACUCCAGUGGCUAAAAAGACAGAGAAGAUGGCCAUGAGGAAGCUGACAUCCAUGGAGUCCCAGACAGAUGACAUCACCAAAGUGUCCCAGGCUGCUAAAAUUGUGGAGCGGAUGGUCAAUCAGAAUACAUAUGAUGACAUCGCUCAAGAUUUUAAGUACUAUGAGGAUGCUGCUGACGAAUACCGGGACCAGGAGGGGACCCUGCUGCCGCUCUGGAAGUUCCAAAACGACAAGGCCAAGCACCUGGCUGUCACCGCCCUCUGCUGGAAUCCAAAGUACAAGGAUCUGUUUGCAGUGGGACAUGGCUCCUAUGACUUCAUGAAGCAGAGCCGGGGCAUGCUGCUGCUCUACAGCAUGAAGAACCCCAGCUUCCCCGAGUACAUCUUCAGCAGCGACAGUGGCAUCAUGUGCCUCGACAUGCAUGUGGACCACCCCUACCUGGUGGUGGUGGGUCACUACGACGGCAACGUGGCCAUCUACAACCUCAAGAAGCCCCACUCCCAGCCCUGCUUCCGCAGCUCGGCCAAGUCUGGCAAGCACACCGACCCUGUGUGGCAGGUCAAGUGGCAGAAGGAUGACAUGGACCACAACCUGAACUUCUUUUCGGUGUCAUCUGAUGGCAGGAUCGUGUCUUGGACCCUCGUGAAGAGUGAGCUGAUCCACACAGAUGUCAUCAAGCUGAAGGUGGAAGGCAGCACCUCGGAAGUUCCUGAGGGGUUGCCACUGCACACCGUGGGCUGUGGCACCGCCUUCGACUUCCACAAAGAGAUUGACUACAUGUUCCUAGUGGGCACAGAGGAGGGGAAAAUCUACAAGGUGAGGCAGGGCUGCCCUGUGCCAGCUCCUCAGGGCCGCCUCGACCCGAGCACCCUGGGAGCUUCUUGUUUGCAACAGACGCUAGUGCUCAUCCAUUCUCGAAGUCUUCUUGGGAGAAAAGAGUGCAUUUCUUGACCUAAGUGGCUGGCAGCAAGAGGGGCCACAUGCAGGAAAGUCAUCUAGAGGAAGAUUUCUGCCCAGCCCAGCCUCCCUCUGGGCCCACCCAGCCUCCUCCCUUCCUAGGAGUGAAGGUAGAGGUGGGAGUGGGAGUUGGGUUGGAUGUGCUGGAACAUUCCAGGAAGACUUCCUGGAGGAGACUUGAACUUAACCUGAACUUUGAAGGCAGAUUUGUGUGUGAAUACCAGGUGCAUUCCAGCAGCCAGGAUGGAGCCUCCCCGCCACUUGCUGCAAGGUCUCAGUGUUAGUAGGUGACCAUCCUGAGCCUCCAUCCAUCCAGAAAUAGCUCUGCUGCAAGCUUUUCUUAGGCUCAGAGACUCAGAAUGUUAAUUACAGGCAGCCUCCCGGGAGCCCCAGAGGCCCAGCCAGAGCUGUUCUGAAUGCAAAAGAGGUCCCCGCCCCCCACUCAGCCCCUCCCAGUGGCAGCCCCAGAGAGGCUGGAGGGAAGGAGAGACCAGGCAGUCCCUCUGGCUCUCAGAGGGAGGGAGGGAGGGAGGGAGAACGGGGCGUGCUGGUCAGGGCAGGAAACUGAAUGGGAAAUCCAGAGAUCAGUGUCUGCUCCUGGCUCUGCACCUGCUCUUCCAUGGACAAGUGUUCCAAAUCCUACUCCAGCCAAUUCCUCGACACCUACGAUGCCCACAACAUGGCGGUGGACGCUGUGACCUGGAACCCCUACCACACCAGGGUCUUCAUGUCCUGCA